AUUUCUUUUAGUAUCUCAGGGUAAGGGAAAGGCUAGGUACCUACCAUGUAUGUGCUUAUUGUUUUAAUUCUCAUCACUCUUUGGAGAUGGGAAUUUGUAUCCCCUUCUACAGAUGGAGAAGCUGAGGCUCAGAGGGUUGAAUGGGCUCCCCAGGCUUACACAGCUCGUGAGACACACAUAAGCACCCCGGUCAGAGUGAUGUGUGGCGCUCAAGGUCCAUGCAGUCUCUUUCCUCUGGGAGUUUGACUAGCCCAGCUCUGGGGUCCCCAUGUAAGGGCAGGGGCACGGUGGACUGGGCUCCUCUUGAACCUCUCUUUGGCUGCCCCUGCCAGAGCCGGCCAGGUCGCAGCGCGGACACACUCACAGGUCGCUGUGGCCCCAGCCUCGCCUGACAGAAUGAGCGGCUCGGACGGGGGACUGGAGGAGGAGCCAGAGCUCAGCAUCACCCUCACGCUGCGGAUGCUGAUGCACGGGAAGGAAGUGGGCAGCAUCAUCGGGAAGAAGGGCGAGACUGUAAAGCGAAUCCGGGAGCAGGUGAGGAUGGAGUUUGGGGGAGGAGCCCAGGGCACCUGAUGUGGAGGGGAGAUCCCUGCCCCACUUUCUCCCUGAACCACUCCUUCUGGGCUGACCAGUGAGUGCCCCAGAGGGUGGCAGUUUUGAGCCUUGCCUCAGGCCUGGUGAGUGGGGCAGGCAGACAAGUUCCGGCAAGGGAGCAGGGAAGAUGCCCCGCUGCCCGGCGCUCAUUCUAUAUCUGCAGAGCAGUGCCCGGAUCACCAUCUCCGAGGGCUCCUGCCCUGAACGCAUCACCACCAUCACCGGGUCUACAGCGGCUGUCUUCCAUGCAGUCUCCAUGAUUGCUUUCAAACUGGACGAGGACCUUUGUGCUGCUCCUGCAAAUGGUGGAAAUGUCUCCAGGCCUCCAGUGACCCUGCGCCUUGUCAUCCCUGCCAGUCAGUGUGGCUCACUGAUUGGGAAGGCUGGCACCAAGAUCAAGGAGAUCCGAGAGGUGAGGGGCAAGAUAUACCACCCACAGGGAAUCCGGGGCAAGGGAGCAGUUGUAAGAGGGUGUUGGGCUUAUGGCGUCCUCCCCACCUAGAGAGCUCUGAGCCUGGGCAGCCCUUUUCUGGGUUAUGGGAGCAGCCAGAAGUGGCCCCUGUUCUCUGUUUGCAGACUACGGGUGCCCAGGUACAGGUGGCAGGGGACCUGCUCCCCAACUCCACAGAGCGAGCUGUUACGGUAUCUGGGGUGCCUGAUGCCAUCAUCCUGUGUGUGCGCCAGAUCUGCGCUGUUAUCCUGGAGUCUCCACCCAAAGGAGCCACUAUCCCCUACCAUCCGAGCCUCUCCCUAGGUACUGUUCUUCUCUCUGCCAACCAGGGCUUCUCUGUCCAGGGUCAGUAUGGGGCUGUGACCCCAGCUGAGGUGAGUGACCCAUAGCCCAAGGCACCCCUUCCUGAACCAUGCCUCCUCUGACCUCUGACCCCUCUUUGGCACAGGUCACCAAGCUCCAGCAGCUCUCAAGCCAUGCGGUCCCCUUUGCCACACCCAGCGUGGUGCCAGGACUGGAUCCCGGCACACAGACCAGCUCACAGGAGUUCUUGGUUCCCAACGAUUUGAUUGGCUGUGUGAUCGGGCGCCAGGGCAGCAAGAUCAGCGAGAUCCGGCAGAUGUCAGGGGCACAUAUCAAGAUCGGGAACCAAGCAGAGGGCGCUGGGGAGCGGCAUGUCACCAUCACUGGCUCUCCGGUCUCCAUCGCCCUGGCCCAGUACCUCAUCACUGCCUGUCUAGAGACGGCCAAGUCUACCUCUGGGGGGACGCCCAGCUCGGCCCCCGCAGACCUGCCUGCCCCCUUCUCGCCACCCCUGACGGCCCUGCCCACAGCUCCCCCUGGCCUGCUGGGCACACCCUAUGCCAUCUCCCUCUCCAACUUCAUCGGCCUCAAGCCCAUGCCCUUCUUGGCUCUACCACCUGCUUCCCCAGGGCCGCCGCCGGGCUUGGCGGCCUACACUGCCAAGAUGGCAGCAGCUAAUGGGAGCAAGAAGGCUGAGCGGCAGAAAUUCUCCCCCUACUGAGGCCAGCUGAGGUACAGGCAGGGGCAGGCAGGACCACCAGCAGGGGGCUGCCUCUGCACCCUACCCGCCCAAGGAGACUCCACCCUGGGGUCCCAAACGCCGCUAACGCCCAGACGCAUGGAUGCACCCCCUACCCUGCCUCCAUCUAUGGGAGUUCUUUCUCUCAGAGUGGGGGCAGUUUCUGGCCCAGGGGUCUGAGCUGCGGCAGCCCCAGGGCAGGGGGCCCUACCUCCUCAGCUCUGUGCUUGGAUACAGGGAGCAGCCAGGAGACUCCCUAGUGCCCCCACCAUGGCGGGUGUCACUCACGCACUCCCCAUCCCUUAGGGCUUCCUGGCCUACUGCAUCCUUGUGGGAGUCAGGGAGGAGGGCCCAUUGGGUAGCUGGGGCCAGGCUUCUCUCCCCACCACCUGCAGAUUUCUUGCUGCUUCCACUGAUACCCUUUUGACUGGAAUGAACUGGCUGGGCUUGUCAGGGGGCACCCCAAAGAGGGGGCACUGCCAGGUAGCUGGGGGAGUGGCAUGGGGCAGGGGCCCAGUUCUCAGCAGCAGACACUCUGUACAGUUUUUUCAAUCCCUGUUUUUGAAUAAAUAUUCUCAGCGACCA
rnacentral:sRNA from 1 species